rnacentral:rRNA from 1 species
CGCACGGUGGAGUAACACGUAUGCAACCUGCCUGCCACAGCCGGAUAAUCGGAGAAAUUCCGUCUAAUACGGCAUAAUGCAUCGACGGGACAUCCUGUUGGUGCCAAAGGUUAAUUCCGGUGGCGGAUGGGCAUGCGUCGCAUUAGUUAGUUGGCGGUGUAACGGACCACCAAGACGACGAUGCGUAGGGGUUCUGAGAGGAAGGUCCCCCACACUGGUACUGAGACACGGACCAGACUCCUACGGAAGGCAGCAG